rnacentral:rRNA from 1 species
AAAUUGAAGAGUUUGAUCAUGGCUCAGAUUGAACGCUGGCGGCAGGCCUAACACAUGCAAGUCGAACGGUAACAGGAAACAGCUUGCUGUUUCGCUGACGAGUGGCGGACGGGUGAGUAAUGUCUGGGAAACUGCCUGAUGGAGGGGGAUAACUACUGGAAACGGUAGCUAAUACCGCAUAACGUCGCAAGACCAAAGAGGGGGACCUUAGGGCCUCUUGCCAUCGGAUGUGCCCAGAUGGGAUUAGCUAGUAGGUGGGG